rnacentral:lncRNA from 1 species
CAAAGAAGAGGGUGGGUCACACUCUGUGUCAGGAUCCAGAGUACAGGCUGCACAUUCAGCAGAAACAUUCAGCUCGGGAUACCUCACAUGCCCCUUGGCCUCCCUGGCCAAACUAAGGAGUCAACAAACAUUGGUAGGGAAGAGGGGAGGAGAGGGCUGGACGGGAAAAGAAUUCGUGGCUGGAGCCAGCUGGCCUGAAAUUUACAUGGAACCAAAGAUGGAAAACUGGAUUCACCGUGUUGUCUUGUACUCUGUAUUUGGAGUUUAUUGCUGCAUAGGAGCAUGAGUUUUACCAAGACCAUGCCCAGCCUCCGUCAGCAGAGGGAAUGGUCUGGUUCCUGGGGAAGGCGACACAG